GGGGAAUAUUGCACAAUGGGCGAAAGCCUGAUGCAGCAACGCCGCGUGAGUGAUGACGGUCUUCGGAUUGUAAAGCUCUGUCUUUUGGGACGAUAAUGACGGUACCGAAGGAGGAAGCCACGGCUAACUACGUGCCAGCAGCCGCGGUAAUACGGAGGGUGCAAGCGUUAAUCGGAAUUACUGGGCGUAAAGCGCACGCAGGCGGUCUGUCAAGUCGGAUGUGAAAGCCCCGGGCUCAACCUGGGGACUGCAUUUCAAACUGGGUAUCUAGAGUGCAGGAGAGGAAAGCGGAAUUCCUAGUGUAGCGGUGAAAUGCGUAGAGAUUAGGAAGAACAUCAGUGGCGAAGGCGGCUUUCUGGACUGUAACUGACGCUGAGGCAUGAAAGCGUGGGGAGCAAAC
rnacentral:rRNA from 1 species